GACGAACGCUGGCGGCGUGCCUAAUACAUGCAAGUCGAACGCAGGGGGGACGGGUGAGUAAAACGUGGGUAACCUCCCAACAGAGGGGAUAACACUUGGAAACAGGUGCUAAACCGAAAUUGAUGGAUGGACCCGCUGUGCAUUAGCUAGUUGGUGUGGUAACGGCUCCCCAAGGCAACGAACCAUAGCCGACGUGGGAUGGUGAUCUGCCACACGUGGACUUAGACACGGCCCAGACGCUGACGGGAGGCAGCAGUAGGGAAUAUUCGGCAAUGGACGAAAGUCUGACCGAGCAACGCCGCGUGAGUGAAGAAGGUUUUCGGAUCGUAAAACUCUGUUGUUAGAGAAGCGGUAUCUAACCAGAAAGCCACGGCUAACUACGUGCCAGCAGACGCGGUAAUAC
rnacentral:rRNA from 1 species